CCUAAGAGUCCUAGUCCGUGGGCUCUCUCACUCCAUAGGGAGGCCACGUGUAAUGAUGAAAAGAAAACUGGACAAGAAAACUGAAAUUCAUAUUCCCGAUACACAAUACCCUGUGAUUCCAUUUUCUGGAGAUGUUUGAGGGUAAUGAGCUUUCAGCCUAGCACUUGCUAACACUAACAAAUGAGGCCAAUUGCAGCUCGCUGUGGAUCACCUUUCAAUAGUGGGUUGACAAGGAGAACAAUGCAUUUGUUUGCGGCUGUCGAGUCUUCAGGGAGGAUCUGUCAUCUCCGAGGUGGCCACUGACAGAUGAGAUACCUCAUCUGAAGAAAGAGAACAAGAGCUGUGGGCUGGAAAGACGGAAGCUCCAAUGUUUCCCUGGCCACCUCUGGUCCACUGUAGGGGAGGCUUUGCACAAGCCCCACCUGGAACCGGCAGAGCCUGGAUGGACACAGGUCUUGCUGUGAACUGCACUGGGCUUCAGGAAGAGGCCAUGCUGGGCAGAAACUCGAUGCUAAUUAAUGAGAUGCCUGGGCUCUGUAAUCAGAAGAUGAAGGGGAGCCAGUGAUCUCAGUAACACUAGGCAGUUGCUUGUGCAAAUGCCCAUUUUUCCAUACAGAGGACAGGGAGGUGCAAUAAAGGGCUCCUCUUGGUCCUGGGCUGACCCACCAGCAUGCUGAUGUCCUCUGGCCAGCUUGCCUGGAAGUAGCCUUCCCUGAUGACACUGCCUCUGUUCUCCAAAGCAAUACAUACAACUUUUUUAUUACUGUGACCAAAUGGAUUACUCCUUUCUGCACAAGAAUGUAUGUCAUUGUCAACAUCAAAAACUUCCCUGCUUUACCCUGACAGCACAUGCCUUAUUGAUCAGGUGCCUCUGAACAACUCACUUACACAAAGCACUUAAACCUGUAUGACUUCAAAAAGUAAGAAUAAUCAUCAGGUGAAAGCAGAUUUUAAUCGUGACUCUAGAUAGCAUUGUGCUGAUUGGACUCUCAUCACCCGACUCUGAGUCAACUGAUGUCCUUGCUUGGAGGUUCAAGCACCAAGUGCAGGUAAUAUACAAAACAAUCACUUUUCAAGAAACCAAUGGAGAGCUGAGUAUGUGAGGCAACUUGGUGCCAUAAAUUCCAAAAUCUGACAAGACCCUCUCAGCAAAGACAAGACACACAGAUCUUUUCAUCUUUGCAGAGCACAGAAGGAAGAAGUGACCCACAUAAUAGUAGGCAUGAAGCUGCCUGACAUCUAAGGAUCUCUGAAGAGAACUGGGACCUGAAACCCAUCUGAAAUGUAUCUGCAGACAGGUCAAGUUCAUCGAGAGUCACCUCCUGCCUGACACUCCAGUCAUUAAUUCCAGUGUGAAGAACAUGAUGAAGGUCCGUCCUAAGGAUGUCUUGGCUACCACAUCUCCAAAUCCAACGGUUGACGUUGUUGCCAUGACCAGAUCUCCAGAUCAGCCUGAAGAUCAACAGGAUGAUGAGUCCACUGAAGAAGGUCACAAA
rnacentral:lncRNA from 1 species